GACGAACGCUGGCGGCGUGCUUAACACAUGCAAGUCGAGCGGAAAGGCCACUUCGGUGGUCCUCGAGCGGCGAACGGGUGCGUAACACGUGAGUAAUCUGCCCCUCACUUUGGGAUAGCCACCGGAAACGGUGAUUAAUACCGGAUAUGACCAUAUGUCGCAUGGCGUGCGGUGGAAAGUUUUUCGGUGAGGGAUGUGCUCGCGGCCUAUCAGCUUGAUGGUGAGGUAAUGGCUCACCAUGGCUUCGACGGGUAGCCGGCCUGAGAGGGUGACCGGUCACACUGGGACUGAGACACGGCCCAGACUCCUACGGGAGGCAGCAGUGGGGAAUAUUGGACAAUGGGCGGAAGCCUGAUCCAGCAACGCCGCGUGAGGGAUGACGGCCUUCGGGUUGUAAACCUCUUUCAGUACCGACGAAGCGCAAGUGACGGUAGGUACAGAAGAAGCACCGGCCAACUACGUG
rnacentral:rRNA from 1 species